ACGGAAGGCAGCAGUGGGGGAUAUUGCACAAUGGGCGCAAGCCUGAUGCAGCGAUGCCGCGUGAGGGAAGAAGGUUUUCGGAUUGUAAAACUCUGUCAACAGGGACGAAAAUGACGGUACCUGUGAAGGAAGCUCCGGCUAACUACGUGCCAGCAGCCGCGGUAAUACGUAGGGAGCAAGCGUUAUCCGGAAUUACUGGGUGUAAAGGGAGUGUAGGCGGGACUGUAGGUCAGAUGUGAAAUAUGCCGGCUCAACUGGCAGACUGCAUUUGAAACUGCGGUUCUUGAGUGAAGUAGAGGUAAGCGGAAUUCCUAGUGUAGCGGUGAAAUGCGUAGAUAUUAGGAGGAACAUCAGUGGCGAAGGCGGCUUACUGGGCUUUAACUGACGCUGAGGCUCGAAAGCGUGGGGAGCAAACAGGAUUAGAUACCCUGGUA
rnacentral:rRNA from 1 species